AUGGCCGAAUUCUUGGCUAAGUUUCUCGAGGAAAUCUUCAAGGAUAACUACUCCCGGUUCAACAAGAUGCUCAUCACGGGUGUAGCGACGGUAAGGUUUGAGCUGGUGCAUUUGCGGAAGGAGGGCACGGAAGCCAAACCUUACCACUACAACCCGUUCGCCCGAUUUUUCGGGUUCACGAAAAAGGAGGCGGUUGCGCUGUUGGCGCGAAACGGGAAGAGUGAGGACGACUACCGCACCCUGGUGGAGGAUUUCGGAGGCUAUGGUUUUCGCGAUUUCAAUGAGACCAUGCUCAAUCCUAGUGGCGUCAUUAGGUACAUUGGCAAGAUCACAAGCACACCAGAAGUAAGCAUAAACGCUGCAUCAAUGGCAAUCCUGGAAGACUUACUCAUGAGUAGAAAGCACGGACUCCUCGCAUACCCAAUCCUGACCGUUCAAAACUCGUUGCAAAAGAAUCGUUUCCAAGACGUGUCAUCGAACGAUUGCACUACCCAAACCUCUGCGAAAGCGCGUCUCACUUCACAACUUUCCUGAUGAGUUUUGGACUCGCCCACUAAAGAAAUGGAAACACAACCGGACAAAACCGAAAAUCGUACAAAGUCCCAAGAUCCGCACAAAGUCCUGCUGAAAGUCCCCAACUCAGCUAUCUCUAAAAUACUGGUGCGCAUUCUAGAGGAGAUUCCGGCAAUUCUCGACUACAAUAGUUUGACAGGAAGUUUGAUCUACGGAGAUUUUGCAAGAGCACUGAAGAUCUGCCAAACAUACAUAAAAAACGCUGGUUCGUACAUUAUGAUAGGGGACAAGGAAAAGCAACAGAAAAGUAGGCGUGAAAAAGCCAGUGCUUUACGACUAUGUGCGUGAUCUAUUACAAGGUGUUGUGAUAAAGUAUAAUACUGAUAUUACGACUCUGCAUAUGCCUGGGUUUGACUAUAUUGAAUUGGAACCCAGUGAAAGCUAUAGGUAGGAUAGGGUUACGAUGGAAAAAACUAAUAUGAUAAAGGCCGCAUGGAAAAAAGUGCGGAAUAAGGUGUGUUCCGCCGUAGGACGGUGCCGAAAGAGAAGGCAGAGAUUUUUAUUCAGUAUGGGAAGCUUUUUGUUGACGUUUGUCUAAGACCAACAGAAUCUGAGUAUAGACUAUCCUCGAUGAUGAUUGAAGAUAUGUGGGUCACUUUUCUUUACCGAAAAUAUAAACUUUGCGGCCCUCUAAAGCAAGCUCUUCGAUUUAAAGUAGGGCUAUAGACAUUACAUGACUAACUUGAAAUUUUAAAACAAUGCUCAUCAGUAGAAUAAAUAAAUAAAAAGAAUAAACAGGGGGAAAAGUUUAGGGUUACAUUUGGGACGGCGGAGGUUAAAAUAAGAUUGGGUAGGGGCAGAUGUUUUAUUGAGAAUUCUAUCUAUAAAUUCGCAGGAAGAUGAUAAAAAGACAGAUUAAUUGGUGCCAAAUUUAUGACCGCUGCACAUAUGAUCAAACGUAUUUUUUUAAUAAGUAUUUAUGAUGAUAAUUUUCAAAACAUUAAUUGAUUGGGAAUGAGAAAUCUGUAUGCAUUCUCAAUUUUGAAAAUAAAAGACGCGUAUGCAAAUGUAAAAAGCGUUGCUUCCUUUUUGCAUGAAAUUCCGGGAUAGGACCCAACAAUGAAAAACUUAUUUCUCAUCGAGCAUUUCUCAAUUAGCAUCGAGUAAAAAACAAAAUUUUUACUACAAAAGGAGAAAAAUUGAAUUUAACGGUGAAUUUUGACCGAAAAAUAUUGGAAUAAACUACAACUCGGCAAGCUUGCUCAAACAGUUCAUCGAUGAAUGAUGAUAAAAUCUUUUUCCGAUUGAUUAAGACAUUCAGUCACUCAUAACACCUGGUUUUGUCAUGGUUGUACAGUGCGAAGUCAUCCUUGUCUUACGCUGAGGUGAAACUUUCAAUCAUGAAAAUCUUAAAUCAAUUACCCUUUCGUAAACUUCUUGAUAAUUAAAUUCAUGCAAUGGAAAAUAAUUUGUUUGCGUUUAUAGGUAUAUCCAUUUAUUCGUGACAAACUAAGUUCAAUUUGGCUGAAACGUAAUACGUUGCGUGUUCUGAGGUUAUGAAACCCGUGAAAUUCUACCCAUUUCACCUAUAAAAUUCACUCAUUUCCUUAAAGUGCUAGUGGAACUAUUUUUACAGUCACUUCAUUCUCAAGUUAUGAAAGUUCCAAAUUCGCAAUUUACCGGACUAAAACUUUUCUCUAAUUUGAUAGAAAUUGCCGCCAUAGAAAUUAAAGAGUUCAAUUACAGUGCGCUAUUUUGUGUGUGUUUUGAGUAAAAAAAUCCGGAAAAGUCCACUUUGUAUGCAAAAUUCACUAAAUUUCUUUGAGUGCAGAUGGUUCUGUUUUUGCGGGAGCUUAAGAUUAAAGACGUAAAUUUAUAAACUGUACACUUCGAUUGCUUGUGGAGCUGUAUACAAUUCAGUACUGCACGGCAGUUAGACGGAAUAAGGAUAACUACUCGCGGUAGCUGUCACAACACAAUUUAUUAGAUUCGAACUUUUUGUCAAUUGCGAGUAUGAAAAAAUUUACACGCCAGUGCUCCAUUUGAAAAAGUAUAUUGUAUUCAUGAAACAUUACAACGAUUCUUUAUCAUAGGGACUCUUGAAGAGGCAGUUCAAGCCCCUUUCUAUUGCGUGAACGCACGACUGCAAUGGCGUUCACUUAGAGCCCUUCUGGUGUUAUUUUAAAGUUUUCAGGUUAGAUGAAGAAACCUUGAACCGUCGCUUUAUUUUCAAAAUAUGGAAAGAACUAUUUAUGCAACCUUACUAUCAAUUUUGUAUACUGUCCACUGGAGGUUCAGGCGAAUUUGUUACGACUAGAAACCAGACAAAAAUCACCAAUGCUGCAAAGACCAACUUUUCAUCGAAGACAAAAUCAACUUCAAACCAGGGAUUUUAUCAACCUAACAAACGACAAAUCACCGACUUCAAAGAAUUCGUGGAGAAUCACCAAAAGCUGUACGUAGACAAAACCCUCUUCCUCCCGACUUCAUAUCCCGCGAGGAGAAGCACAAGGGUCCAAUUGUAUUGGUGACUAAACCACUGGAUUCGGAAAACACUCAUGGCAUCAACGUGGAUUACUUUUUCAACUCCAAGUAUGACCUUAGCCAGUCAAAACGUCUCUUUUGGGCUUAAUGUCAUGGCCGACACUCCGCUAUGAACGAAUUCAGGGAAAAACACAUGAAUCGGUAUCCCGUGAUUAAAAUCAGCUUCGGAUCAUUUGUUGUGGCAACCAAUUAUCAAAACGCGCUCAAAGAGAUUGGUCGAAUAUUUAAGCAGGUAUUCUUCCUUAUAGACUCUAGGUCGUAUACCGUAUUCAAUGACAUCAAACAGGGGUUUUAUCACUGAGAUGUAUCGAUUUAUCGAUUGGUUCAGCGCCCUAAACAUAGCCUCGAUAGUAAAUCGAGUGAUUUGCGGUAACGGAUUUUGUUAUAAUUGUUGAUGCCUUAUGAACACUAAAUGACUAUGAAAUAAAAAAUUGCUAAGAAUUUCCUCUUUUUCAGCUUUUUUAAAAUAUGUCCUAAAAUUUUGCUUUGAGGUUAUGUUCUAUUAUUUUGAACCGAUCGAUAUAUUGAACCAGUAUUGAAUACAGCUCAUAUUAACCGCUGGAGCAUUUAAAUAUUAUUCUUUGGCAUAUAAUAU
rnacentral:lncRNA from 1 species